UACGGGGGGAGCAAGCGUUGUUCGGAUUUACUGGGCGUAAAGGGCGCGUAGGCGGCCACCGCAAGUCGACUGUGAAAUCUCCGGGCUUAACCCGGAAAGGUCAGCCGAUACUGCGGGGCUAGAGUGCAGAAGGGGCAACUGGAAUUCCUGGUGUAGCGGUGAAAUGCGCAGAUAUCAGGAGGAACACCGAUGGCGAAGGCAGGUCUCUGGGCCACUACUGACGCUGAGGAGCGAAAGCCAGGGGAGCGAACGGG
rnacentral:rRNA from 1 species